rnacentral:rRNA from 1 species
UGGGGAAUAUUGGACAAUGGGGGAAACCCUGAUCCAGCGAUGCCGCGUGUGCGAAGAAGGCCUGCGGGUUGUAAAGCACUUUGGGUGGGGAAGAAAGAAGCAUGGUGAAUAGCCAUGCGAGUUGACGUUACCCACAAAACAAGCACCGGCUAACUCUGUGCCAGCAGCCGCGGUAAUACAGAGGGUGCGAGCGUUAAUCGGAAUUACUGGGCGUAAAGGGCGCGUAGGCGGUUAAUUAAGUUAGAUGUGAAAUACCUGGGCUUAACCUGGGAGUGGCAUUUAAUACUGGUUAGCUGGAGUAGAGUAGAGGGAAGUGGAAUUUCCGGUGUAGCGGUGAAAUGCGUAGAUAUCGGAAAGAACACCGGUGGCGAAGGCGGCUUCCUGGACUCAUACUGACGCU